rnacentral:rRNA from 1 species
AAGACCCCAAUGCGUCGCGGAU